rnacentral:rRNA from 11 species
GGUUGAGAACCACUGUCCUAAAGGUAGCAGAUCCCAUCUGAUCUUGGAAGAUAAGCAGUAUCAGCUCUAGUUAAUGCUUGGAUGGGAGACCACCAAUAAACAAUAAGUUCUGUAAGCU